AUACGGAGGGUGCAAGCGUUAAUCGGAAUUACUGGGCGUAAAGCGUGCGUAGGUGGUUUGUUAAGUUAGAUGUGAAAGCCCCGGGCUCAACCUGGGAACUGCAUUUGAAACUGGCAUACUAGAGUAUAGGAGAGGAAAGUGGAAUUUCAGGUGUAGCGGUGAAAUGCGUAGAUAUCUGAAGGAACAUCAAUGGCGAAGGCAGCUUUCUGGACUAAUACUGACACUGAGGUACGAAAGCGUGGGUAGCAAACAGGAUUAGAAACCCUUGUAGUCC
rnacentral:rRNA from 1 species